AAAACGGCUGUCUAAGUUAUAAGCAAUUAUACCGUGAAACUGCGAAUGGCUCAUUAAAUCAGUUAUCGUUUAUUUGAUAAUACCUCUACUUGGAUAACCGUGGUAAUUCUAGAGCUAAUACAUGCUGAAAAUCCCGACUUCGGAAGGGAUGUGUUUAUUAGAUAAAAAACCAAUGCCCUUCGGGGCUUUUUGGUGAUUCAUGAUAACUUUACGGAUCGCAUAGCCUUGCGCUGGCGACGGUUCAUUCAAAUUUCUGCCCUAUCAACUUUCGAUGGUAAGGUAUUGGCUUACCAUGGUUUCAACGGGUAACGGGGAAUUAGGGUUCGAUUCCGGAGAGGGAGCCUGAGAAACGGCUACCACAUCCAAGGAAGGCAGCAGGCGCGCAAAUUACCCAAUCCCGACACGGGGAGGUAGUGACAAUAAAUACUGAUACAGGGCUCUUUUGGGUCUUGUAAUUGGAAUGAGUACAAUUUAAACCUCUUAACGAGGAACAAUUGGAGGGCAAGUCUGGUGCCAGCAGCCGCGGUAAUUCCAGCUCCAAUAGCGUAUAUUAAAGUUGUUGCAGUUAAAAAGCUCGUAGUUGAAACUUGGGCCUGGCUGGCGGGUCCGCCUCACCGCGUGCACUCGUCCGGCCGGGCCUUCCUUCUGAAGAACCUCAUGCCCUUCACUGGGCGUGCUGGGGAAUCAGGACUUUUACUUUGAAAAAAUUAGAGUGUUCAAAGCAGGCCUUUGCUCGAAUACGUUAGCAUGGAAUAAUAAAAUAGGGCGUGCGUUUCUAUUUUGUUGGUUUCUAGAGACGCCGCAAUGAUUAACAGGAACAGUCGGGGGCAUCAGUAUUCAGUUGUCAGAGGUGAAAUUCUUGGAUUUACUGAAGACUAACUACUGCGAAAGCAUUUGCCAAGGAUGUUUUCAUUAAUCAGGAACGAAAGUUAGGGGAUCGAAGACGAUCAGAUACCGUCGUAAUCUUAACCGUAAACUAUGCCGACUAGGGAUCGGGCGAUGUUCUUUUUCUGACUCGCUCGGCACCUUACGAACAAUCAAAGUUUUUGGUUCUGGGGGGAUUAUGGUCCCAAGGCUGAAACUUAAGAAAUUGACGGAAGGUCCCCCCAAGGCUGGAACCUGCGGUUUAUUUGACUCCAACCGGGGAAAUCCCCAGGGCCCAAUGAAAAAAGAAAAAAAAAUGGAAACUUUUUUUUUUUUGGGGGGGGUGGGGGGUAUAAAACGGGGACAAUUUCUGUUAUGGGAAACAAAAA
rnacentral:rRNA from 1 species